rnacentral:misc_RNA from 1 species
CAAAUAUCAGCUGCAUAUCACAAAACUUAUGUCUAACUCAUAAAAAUAAAUGCAGUUCCGAUCUUGAAAAGUAAAUUAAUUAAAGGAGACUUCUUAUUGGUCUACGUUAAUGUUUAUGUCUAGAUCAUUAUUGGUUUCAGCUAAUCAUACUUAUCACAGAUGUCCAUACCAAAAUUUUUACUCAAUUUCUUCCUUAAUUUUAUACUGCAGGGUAACAGCACUGCAACUGGUG